UACGAAGGGGGCUAGUGUUGUUCGGAAUUACUGGGCGUAAAGCGCGCGCAGGUGGUCUUUCAAGUCAGUGGUGAAAGCCCGGAGCUCAACUCCGGAAAUGCCAUUGAAACUGUAAGACUUGAGGAUGAGAGAGGUGAGUGGAAUUCCCAGUGUAGAGGUGAAAUCCGUAGAUAUUGGGAAGAACACCGGUGGCGAAGGCGGCUCACUGGCUCAUAUCUGACGCUCAGGCGCGACAGCGUGGGGAUCAAACAGG
rnacentral:rRNA from 1 species